AAGUCGUAACAAGGUUUCCGUAGGUGAACCUGCGGAAGGAUCAUUAAUGAAUUUUUAAAGGGAGUUGUAAUUGAUGCUGGUCUUUACUGACAUGUGCUCGUUCUCUCUCUUAAAUCCUUUAUAACACACCUGUGCACUUGUUUAUUAGAAUCAGAGUUGGUUCCCUAUUAAGGGGAGUGGCUUUGCUUUUAUUAAUCAUUAACAUACUCUUAUUAUUAACUAUGAAUGUUUAUCAAGUCGAAAGGCUUUUAAAUUAUAAUACAACUUUUAACAACGGAUCUCUUGGCUCUC
rnacentral:misc_RNA from 1 species